GUGAGGCGAGGGGAGCGAAGCGGUGGCGCGACGUCGACGUGGAGGCUUGUCUGACACGCGACGCGCCACGAGCCGCCCCGAGGGGAGCGCGCCCGACUGCCCGAUCGUCGGCCGCCGGCGACCGGCGUGGCGCACUCGGACUCUUGUUCGUCCGGCCGGUGGCUGAGUAACUGGAUGGGAAGACCCAGAGAUCGGGUUCAGUGAGAUGUCAUUUCAAGUCCAGAACUAAACAAGCAUUGCGGCAGCUGCGCGCUGGUGCCCGCGGCGCUGGCGAUGCUGGCGACGCUUGCGACGCUCGUGUCGCUGGCGUCGCUGCCAUUCAGACCCUCGCCACCGCCCGCCUCCAACGCGGCAUUCAUUUCCUCACUGGUCUGCCGAAGCCUCUUGCGAGACAUUAUCACAUGGCACGCCGGCGACGCGCUUCGGUAACUUCCCCCCGACUACGACACACAACGCUUCGCUACUAAAUAUCCCUCCUCCCUGUCAAUUGUCCAAUCUUAACGAUAGGUCCAGAAAAUGAUGACGUCGCGGAGAUUCCUAUUACUCAACCGUAUCGUGAUUAGAAACAGGUCAUCACGUACAAUUCAAGUACAGACCUUCAUACACUUGACAGUGUAUAACUAUUUUAAUAUAUUAUUCUUUUAUAAAACAGAUUGUCGGAAGGAAAUUAAUUGAUAUUGUAACUAUCUGUAUAGUGCAAUAUUUAUUUAAAAAUUUAAAUGUUUGUUUCGGCCGUGAUAAAAUGACGAAAUAGCACAUUUGAUUCGAUUAAAUUGACAAGUUUGACAACUUCUUUUUUAAACUAGAGGUUGGCGAUUAUGAGAUAUACUACUGGAUUCAUUCGAUUAUAAAGGUGUUUCGAUAAAUUUCGAUUAAUGCCAUUAGUAACGAGGGACUUUCCAGGCUACGUUCCCCAAAAAUAAUAUAGAUGGUACUAUCCAGAUUUAACGUGAUUUUUACCUAUUUUCUCAUUGCUCGGGGGCAUAAUUAUUCAAAUGUAAUGGCAGAAACAUAUAUAAAAAUAGCGAGUGAAAGAGCGUGAAAUACAUUUUCUGAACGAAUUUUAUGGCAAUGAAUAUGGACACAAAUUAGUAUUGUAAGUUGUAUGUAACACAAAUUAGUAAGAACAAACAAAU